UUAAGUCAAGUUUGCAUGUAGUUGAAACGCCUGCCUACGUUUGCCGCUAGGGACGCUGUUCCAACUGCAUACAACUUUGAGUUA
rnacentral:pre_miRNA from 1 species